rnacentral:rRNA from 1 species
UACGAAGGGGGCUAGCGUUGCUCGGAAUCACUGGGCGUAAAGGGUGCGUAGGCGGGUCUUUAAGUCAGGGGUGAAAUCCUGGAGCUCAACUCCAGAACUGCCUUCGAUACUGGGGAGUCUCGAGUUCGGGAGAGGUGAGUGGAACUGCGAGUGUAGAGGUGAAAUUCGUAGAUAUUCGCAAGAACACCAGUGGCGAAGGCGGCUCACUGGCCCGAUACUGACG